AUGCCGCCUCAAGCAGAGCCGCAACAGCCUGCAAGACCAAGGCAGUCCAGCUUUGGAGAGAUGGCUAUUAUAUUCUUUGGAGCUAGUGUUCUGGGUCUGAUAUUCCUGAUUAAUAUCUCGGUUCACAAAGUAGAGGAGGGACAUGUUGGUGUUUACUAUAGGGUAAGUGGGGACAAAAAGGACAAAAUGAUUUUCUACAAGGGAGUGAGGGAGUAUAAUAAAUUUAAGUGUUACAAAUUAGAAGAGCUGGGGUUGGGUGCAUUCAAGAGGAACUUGCUAUUCAAAUUGAGGGUGUAUCAAAAUGAAAAUUGGGGACAUGGUAGAUGUUAAGGGAGGUUGAUAGGAAUUGAACCCAAUCAAAGGUAUGAUAGGCAAUGAACUGAUGGUAGAACUGAAUGGGAUUAGCCAAUAGGCUACUUGAAUAAAAAAAAAAAAAAUUAGCUGAGGGCUCUAAAUUAUCUGAGAGCUAUUGAUAUUCCGUAAUUCAUGAGGCUUCUUCAUGUUUGCAUGUUUGACGUUACUCUUUCUAUCUUUAUCAUAAACAGCUGCAUCGCCAGACAAUGAACAGAGUUUUUACAGAGUAAAAAAUUUUACUUUUUAAGGAAAAUUCAAGCAUUUUUAGCUAUUUCCACAUGAUUUAUUAUGAAUUGUAUUUGAAUUAUUUUCAACAAAGCGGGUUCCUCGCAAGUAAAUGUUUGUUGCCUCAGGAGUAUUUUAUCAAACGUACCAGUACAUAUUAUGCUUAAAUCCCUGAAGUCUUGUCCACACGCUCAGAUUUCCCAGAACUUUGACAGAAUAAGUUGAAGCUGAGUUACAACUCAUUCCAUCUAUGCACAGAAAAGGGGCGAAAAACGAUGUGCAGUGAAAGUUCCGCGAACUGGUUCUGGCAAAGCUCCAUGAACCGUUGCCAGUGUGGACGAAGCCUAAGAGGUAUUAGAUGUAAAAGUUUGACAGAUUCUUGCUCUUCUGCAUGAUCGUUAGGAUCAAUGGAUGAAAUUUCUUUUAUUGUGCUUCUACCCAUAUGUUGACGUACUUUUACCUUAAAAUUGGAUCAUGAACCCUCAAGACAGGCACACACUUCCUGUCGAUCCGAGAUUCAAAGAACAAGAAAAUCAAACAAAAACUCAAAAAAUGUUACACCUACUUGAGGUGAAAUAAGUUCAAUUCAUUCCAAAAAAAAGUCCUAAUUAAUUCAUCCUCUCACAACAAGGCCAAGUUCUGUGCAUGCGUGUCCUCUUACGGAAAUUGAUUGUCAUUGAAAGAAUUGGAUUGCAUUAUGUCAGAUUCAGCCUAAAAAUCAA
rnacentral:lncRNA from 1 species